rnacentral:rRNA from 1 species
UACGUAGGGAGCAAGCGUUGUCCGGAAUCAUUGGGCGUAAAGCGCGCGUAGGUGGCCUCAUAAGUCCGCUGUGAAAGUCAAAGGCUCAACCUUUGAAAGCCGGUGGAUACUGUGAGGCUAGAGUACGGAAGAGGCGAGUGGAAUUCCUGGUGUAGCGGUGGAAUGCGCAGAUAUCAGGAGGAACACCAAUAGCGAAGGCGGCAUCCUGGACCGACACUGACGCUGAGGAGCGAAAGCCAGGGGAGCAAACGGG